UCCCAUAGGUUCUCUCUCUAGAUGUCUUUUGGACUAGUAGAUGAUCUGAAUACUUAAGCAAAUCUAGAUAGAUUGGUUGGCCCUAGGAGGGGUCCCAGACCUUAUUAUAUAAUUAGGAUCCUGGGCUAAUAUCAUGCAACCACCUACGUAAGUUUCUAUAAUUUUUUAUAAGGAUCCUAAAUAUUUACAAUUGAUUUGAUGGCUGGAUUGGUUCUAUA
rnacentral:lncRNA from 1 species